GACGAACGCUGGCGGCGUGCCUAAUACAUGCAAGUUGAGCGCUGAAGGUUGGUACUUGUACCAACUGGAUGAGCAGCGAACGGGUGAGUAACGCGUGGGGAAUCUGCCUUUGAGCGGGGGACAACAUUUGGAAACGAAUGCUAAUACCGCAUAAAAACUUUAAACACAAGUUUUAAGUUUGAAAGAUGCAAUUGCAUCACUCAAAGAUGAUCCCGCGUUGUAUUAGCUAGUUGGUGAGGUAAAGGCUCACCAAGGCGAUGAUACAUAGCCGACCUGAGAGGGUGAUCGGCCACAUUGGGACUGAGACACGGCCCAAACUCCUACGGGAGGCAGCAGUAGGGAAUCUUCGGCAAUGGACGAAAGUCUGACCGAGCAACGCCGCGUGAGUGAAGAAGGUUUUCGGAUCGUAAAACUCUGUUGGUAGAGAAGAACGUUGGUGAGAGUGGAAAGCUCAUCAAGUGACGGUAACUACCCAGAAAGGGACGGCUAACUACGUGC
rnacentral:rRNA from 1 species